ACCUACACCACAGCUCACAGCAAUGCUGGAUCCUUAACCCACUGAGCAAGGCCAGGGAUCGAACCUGCAACCUCAUGGUUCCUAGUCGGAUUCGUUAACCACUGCGCCACGAUGGGAACGCCACGUUUUAUAUUUUAACCCAACAAAAAUUCUGCUAAGCGCUAACCUCAGAGAACACAGUAGAAGCUAGCGGCCUAGUCUUUUAGUACCGUUCAAAUUGGAGUAUGUUGAGGCUGGACCUAGUUAUGCCGUGCUCUCCUUUUAGCAUUUUAAGUGUGAUUACUGUUAUCAAAGUCAGUUAUUUUUUAAUUUGUAUGUGAGAAUAUCCAACUGGUACAAGUAUUUAUAUUAUUUAGGAGAACUUGAGGAUGGGUUUUGCAAAAUUCAAAUAUUGCCUAUAAGUUAUGAACAUUGUUUUAAUAGUCCUGAAAAAAAUGAUGAAAUACUAAAAGAGCUAUUUUAUUUUAUUUUUGGCUGUGCCUGUGGCAUGCAGAAGUUCCCAGGCCAGGGAUUCGAACCCAUCCCGUAGCAGUGACCAUACUGGAUUCUUAACUGCUAGGAUACCAGGGAACUCCCUAAAAUAGCUAUUUUAAUACUACCCCCCCCACGAGUAGUACCAAGUAUUAGCUUAUCUCUUCCCACAAUAACACAACUUUAUCAUAGGAGCAUAGGAAACUGAAGCCUUUCACAAUGGCUUCAGUCUGGUAGGACUGAGUUAGCCUGAGCAAACCUGAGAAGAGGGAGGAGUAAAUUAAUAAGAUCAAGUGGAAACAAGAGGAAUGGGUAGAGCCAUUAAAAACUAGCUGCGCACAGCAUUUCCAACAAAAUUUUUGAGAAGGCAUUUAAUUUCACUAAAAUUUAAUAAAGUAGUAAUUAUUGGAGAUUAAUAUCUGUACCUCCUUAGGUAAUGUUGAAAUAUAAGUAAGUCCACCCAGUGAACUCCUACUGCAUGUAUUUGGAUAUUUUAAAACAUAUUUCCGAAUAACUAUAGUAAAAAAAAUUGGAAAAUAUUUAGAAUUAAAUGGUCAUAGAAACUUGGCAUGAAGAUUAAGAAGUAGAAUUGUUCUAAAAGUGUUAUGAGGUGAUUCCUAAGGGACACUAGAAGAUGGAUAAGGAAAGCUUCCUUACAAUCACUGCUGUCAUGGAAUCUUGUGCAUUACACACAAGAAAGAAAGAAAAAUUUUGCUUUGCACUUGUCUCUCCACAGGCCUGGAUGGACCUGCAUUUCCUCCCACAGCUGUUGGACUGAGGGUGGGAUUUGAGCCAGUCACUUGGGUGGUACUGGAUCAGAGGAGGUACUGGAUCAGAGAAGGUGGUACUGGAUGUUGAUCCUGGGCCACAGAAAAAGAGAAAACAGGUUCCAGGGGGAAAAUACAGAAUGAAGCAGAUGUAUAGAGAGGAGCUGAAAUAGAAGAUGAAUUUUGAGAACUGUAUCUUCAUUCAAAUCCUUUCUUGAGGUAGCUACGUUCUUGCCGUUGGGGUCCAUGGAGCACUCCUCUACCCUCUGGUAUACUGUUCUUGUGUUUUAUGUCAGCUCCAAUAAGGGUCUGUCACUUGAAUUCAGGUGUUCUGACUUAUGUAUUUUUACCAGGACUGACCAAAAUAAUCUCCAACCUAACGAAAGCCUUCUCCUCUUCCUUGUCAAUGCAAAAUUGGUGGUGUUAGUAAUAUUCUUACUUUUCAGAUGAAGAAACAGGUGAAAAAUUUCCCAAGCUCACCAGCUGGUAAACUAGAACAAAUCCUGUUAACUACUUCCUCUAAUGCUUCUCUUACAAGGUAAACUAAAAAAAACCCUGAUAUGGGUAUACCCAUAUCAUAUAUCUAUUUCGGCUUGCCCACCUUCUGCCUAUCUCUGUCAGUAUGAUGGGGACUUGCCCCUCUCCUUCCAAACAUUGUAUCAAGAGAAAUUGACUUCCAGAGUUUCCUGGUGGCCUAGAAGUUAAAGAUCCGGCUUUGUCAUUGCUGUGGCUUAGAUUCGAUCCCUGGAACAGGAACUUCUGCAUACCAUGGACAUGCCCCCCCCACCCCCCGCAAAAAAAGAGAGAGAGAGAGAAAUUGACUUUUAAGAAAAAGCAGUUCUAGUUUCUGGUGUCUGGAGCUUUAGACAUGCUAAAUCUUAAGAUCUUUCUAAAAGGCAAAUCCGAUGGGGUCACUCUUAUUAGAACCCUUUGUAGGCUCUCCAUUGAGGUAAACAACCUGACCAUGGUCUCUCCACACUCACUUCUUGCCACUUUGUUCCCACAUACAUCUUGAAAUGUUCUCAUUUCCCCAGUUUAAGUUCUAUGUGUGUGCUUAUCUCUGGACCUUUUCAAUUAUUUCUUCCUUUCAACUCUCUCUCCAACCCCUGUCCUUUUCUCUUGUCUACCUUUUACAUCUUCAGGAUUUAGUGUAGAAAUAACCUUUGACAGAAAUCUUCCAGAUGCUCCCAAGUCUUGGAUAAGAGCCUCUUUUUUGUCCCCUUUCGUGUCUGUUCUUACGUGGCUAUAAAAUUUCAUUUUAUCAGAUUACCUGUUUACUUCUCUGAUUUCACUCUCUGGACUCUAAGCUACCUCGACUGUGAAGCACUAGUAAUACAGCAGUCCUGUCCUCUAGGCAGGGCGAGAAGAAUCUUUAGAGGAGUUUCUCCACUAAAACAGUUCUGGGGUGGCUGCCAGACAUAGCUUCAUCAUGUUAUAAUAUAUCCCAACUCAGAACAGAAACUCGUGGUGAAUUAAGCUUCUGCUUCUCAAAGAGCCACAAAGAUACUAGCCAUGCCAGAAAAACCCCACAAAACCCAGGAACCUUGCCUUGCAACUAUCUCCUCCCUCAGGUAGGUACUUACCUAUUUAGUAAAGACUACAUUGUGAAGCCCCUAUACUAUUAAAUGUGCCAAAGGUUAAUAGGUGAGCGGACACAAUAAUGAGCAAAAUGACUCUGACUUCAGAACUUAGAGUUUAGUGGGAGAAAUAGAUGUGAAUAGCAAAACACAUACAUUUGUGUAAUCAUAUGUGUAAUGAAAACUUUUUUUUUUUUUGGCUGCAUCCACAGCAUGCAGAGGUGGCCAGGGAUCAAACCCACACCGUAGAAAUGAUGACACCAGAUCUUUAACCAGCAAUGAAAACCUUGAUAGGGCCUGGAGAGGUAGGCAGAGGCCACCUGGAGGCCUUGCAGACCUGAAUUUGCCUUAUCUUCCCGAGGACACACCAGGGAAAAUGAUAGGGAGAAUUAUGUAUUUGGUGUUCCUUGGUCACCUGGCCUCGCUGACUACUGAUAACCCACCUCUGAACAAACUGUAGUGUAUGAAGAUCACUGCCCAAAAGCCUAAAUCUUUAGUAGAAAUCUCAGGGACCCAGACACUUUGAGAUAAUAUGUUAAUGAAAGAAAACAAGCCUUCCUCCCCUCCUGCCUUGCUCCCUGCCCAUCUCUGACUCAGCCUCCCGUCUUUCAUGUGGCCCAGCAGAGCUCUCUGGCAUAAAGCAGCUUCAUUUUCCCUUCAUCCUCUUUGGAGCUGGUGGGGAUUGAUUGGGAAGGAGGUUCCUGUUCUUCAAGGCAUCUCAGAGGGCUCUGAGCUCCUCGUGGACUCUCAGCCCUUCUACUACUCUGAACUAGCUCUUGCCACCUUGAACUUGGAGCUCUUUGCUGUCCUCACUGCUUAAGUUUUAUAUAUGUGAAUGUGUGUGUGAGUGCACAUAUUUGAUUUUGAAAGUGUCCUUACAGAAUCCUACUGACAACGUCUCUAAUUUCUUCAUUUCUACUUGACCUCUAUCUUGAGAAAGGGUUGGAUUAUGAAAUCGGAAGCUUAGGCUCUAUCCAGGCAAGACUUCUUUCUGGUAGGCUUAGUAGUAUCCCGGCUUGUAGCCCAGGUACUGGGAACAAAAUUG